rnacentral:rRNA from 1 species
UCUGAGAAAAUAUAGAAGGUCCAGCCUGCCCAGUGACAAAGUUAAACGGCCGCGGUACCCUAACCGUGCGAAGGUAGCGCAAUCACUUGUUCUUUAAAUGAGGACUAGUAUGAACGGCAUCACGAGGAUUAUACUGUCUCCCCCCUUUAAUCAGUGAAACUGAUCCCCCCGUGAAGAAGCGGGGAUAAACCUAUAAGACGAGAAGACCCUAUGGAGCUUUAAACUAACACCACCUGUCUAUAAACACUUCAUAACAAACAGACAAACCUACGUGCUAGUUUUUGGUUGGGGUGACCGCGGAGCAAAAUAAAACCUCCACGAUGAAAAGACUUUCCCUCUUAAUCCAAGAGCAACAUCUCAAAGAAUUGGUAAACCAACACAACUGAUCCAAAUAAUACUUUGAUCAACGAAC